rnacentral:tRNA from 1 species
AGAAGUAUACAAAAAGAAUAUCUUAAGUCUUCAAAACCAGCGCGAGGGGUUAGUAGCCUCUUGGGUGGGUUCGAUUCCCACGUACUCCCUCCA